rnacentral:rRNA from 1 species
AGGACGAACGCUGGCGGCGUGCUUAACACAUGCAAGUCGAACGGAAAGGCCCUUCGGGGUACUCGAGUGGCGAACGGGUGAGUAACACGUGGGUGAUCUGCCCUGCACUCUGGGAUAAGCCUGGGAAACUGGGUCUAAUACCGGAUAUGAUCAUGCGCCUCAUGGUGUGUGGUGGAAAGCUUUUGCGGUGUGGGAUGGGCCCGCGGCCUAUCAGCUUGUUGGUGGGGUAAUGGCCUACCAAGGCGACGACGGGUAGCCGGCCUGAGAGGGUGACCGGCCACACUGGGACUGAGAUACGGCCCAGACUCCUACGGGAGGCAGCAGUGGGGAAUAUUGCACAAUGGGCGCAAGCCUGAUGCAGCGACGCCGCGUGGGGAUGACGGCCUUCGGGUUGUAAACCUCUUUCAGUACCGACGAAGCGUAAGUGACGGUAGGUACAGAAGAAGCACCGGCCAACUACGUG